rfam:Aedes aegypti strain Liverpool supercont1.170 genomic scaffold, whole genome shotgun sequence.
UGCCCAGCAACUCCUAUCCCUACCUCCUCGCGGUACUGGCCGGGGUACGAGUAACCUUGGGGAACAUCGGGUAACCAACCCCCGGUGGGAACUUUGGUCGUAUGCUGACAGGGAAGG